rnacentral:rRNA from 1 species
AGCGAACGCUGGCGGCGUGCUUAACACAUGCAAGUCGAGUGCGCAGUUCCGCUGUAGCAAUACAGUGGGAUGGGCGCACGGCGCACGGGUGAGUAUCACGUGAACAACCUGCCCUUGGACGGGGAAUAACCCCGCGAAAGCGGGGCUAAUACCGCGUACGAUUCCGGGGACUUCGUUCCUGGUCUGAUAGCUCGCAAGGGUGGACGGAGGAGGGGUUCGCGGCCGAUUAGCAGUUGGCGGGGUAACGGCCCACCAAGGCAAUGAUCGGUAGCCGGUCUGAGAGGGAUGGCCGGCCACACUGGAACUGAGAC